GGGUGAGUAACACGUGGAUAACCUACCUAUAAGACUGGGAUAACUUCGGGAAACCGGAGCUGAUACCGGAUAAUAUAUUGAACCGCAUGGUUCAAUAGUGAAAGACGGUUUUGCUGUCACUUAUAGAUGGAUCCGCGCCGCAUUAGCUAGUUGGUAAGGUAACGGCUUACCAAGGCAACGAUGCGUAGCCGACCUGAGAGGGUGAUCGGCCACACUGGAACUGAGACACGGUCCAG
rnacentral:rRNA from 1 species